GAAAAUCUUUAUUAACUAUGACGUUAAAAAGUAGUACACAACAACAUAUUCUGAUGAGCGUUGCUCUUUCAAUACAAACUAGUACUACUAAAUUAGAAGCUUAUACAAAAUAGACUUUCUUUUACAUUCAGCACACAUGCCAUGUGUCAUCUGCUUAUUCGGCUGUUCACCCACCGUAUACUUGGGCUUCUAACCGUGGGAUCGGGUGGACCACUAAUGGAUCAGCCCGUUGUAAAGUCAGCCCAAAUGCUUCCUCCAUAUUUAACUUAUCUGGCAAUUGUCCAGUGGGCAAAGCCCAGUUAAACGAAUGGAUCAAAGUUGCAGUCAUCAACUGGACCAUGCGGAUACCCAAACUCAUUCCGGGGCAUAUUCUUCGACCAGCACCAAACGGAAUUACUUCAAAGUCAUUUCCUUUUACAUCAACUUUGGGCUUUUCACCUCCGGGCAAGAAUCUUUCGGGCCUGAACUCUAUUGGAUCAGCCCAUUGGUUUGGAUCACGAGCAAUGGCCCAAACGUUGACGAGAAGUGUCGAGCCUUUUGGAAUGAAGUAGCCAUUGAUCUCACAGCUCUCGGAUGCAAUUCUAGGGAGGGAGAGGGGUGUUGAUGGAUGAAGCCUAAAGAUUUCCUUGACUAUGGCUUCCAAAUAAGUCAAUUGGGCCAGGUCAGAUUCCAUAACGAGCCGGUUCUUUCCAACUACUUUGUCGAUCUCCUGUUGGGCCUGGGCCAGUAUUUUCGGGUUACGAAUAAGCUCUGCAAUGGCCCAUUCUACUGUGCUAGAGGAUGUGUCUGUCCCAGCUAUAAAUAAGUUCAAAAGUAAAGCUUUAAUUUCUGUAUCAGUAAGUUUUCCGCCAUUAUCGUCUUCUUCAUUUUUCAAAGAGAUCAACGUAUUCAACAAAUCCCCCUGUUCCUUCGAUUCUCCAACUCGCUUUUCCUUGUGUUCUUCGAGGAUCGUGGUUAAGAACGCGUCGAAACGCGCGUGGAGCUUCUUCAUUUUUUCAGCUACGCCUUGAAUGUCCAUCCAAUCAAGCGCCGGAAUAAAAUCGCCGAUGUUGAAAACGCCGGCGAGAACCAUCAUCUCCACCACCAUUAACUUGAACUCCUCCGCUUGAGGAUCCAUGCCGUUAGUACCGUCGGCGAAUACCCGCUUCCCGAGCAUCACACGCGCAAGUGCAUUCGUGGUGCACACGUUCAACAGCUGCCCUAGUUUGAUUGGAUUUUGACCAGCAUUCGCUAAGGCGCGUGUAAGUGUUCUGACUUCUUCCUGUCGGACAUGGCGGAAGUCAUCUAAAGCUUUAGUUGAAAAAAGAUGAACAGAACAAAUUUUCCUUAGCAUACGCCACCGUGGUCCGUAAGGUGCGAAAACAAGGUCAUGGUAAUUAUAAGCCAUGUGUUUCGCCCCAGAGUUCGGUGGGCGGCUCGAGAAGUUAGCGUCAUGAUUUUUCAAAAAUUGAGCCGCCACCGAAGCUGAGGCUGCAACCACCACGUCCACGAACCCCAUGCGAAGGUGCAUCAAUGGC
rnacentral:misc_RNA from 1 species